rnacentral:lncRNA from 1 species
AGGCGAGGGCCGUACUCGACAGAUGCCUCGUCUUCAGGUUCCGAUUCGUUAGCGUCAGACGUGAUGACAGAGGAAUUCCGCGCGGCAAAAAGGGGACGACUAACCCGCAUUGCCGAACACGUCUGUCCAGCGCCUGUCCCUGAAACCACAGAUUUCCUGCCAGUCACCCCCCCGGAAGCCGGUGAAUGGUUUAACGAGCCCCUGACCGCUGAUUUGUUACCACAGACGGAGGAAACAUAAGCUGGCACGUAUACAUAAGGAAUUUGCAGUUCGUUGUCGUAAUUCCCUUCACCCAGGAAUCGCCUCGAGGUUGCCCAAGAAGAUUCAUCUCCUGUGCCAUAAAUUGCCGUGCUCGCUGUUGUGCUGCCGACGGACACGUCGAGCGGCACGUAGUCGUCGCCGUCACCCACAUCGCGUGACACAGCACCUGGACGACUCCUCACUACCAAAUUGGUGGAGGGCCUCCUCAUCGUCGAGACGCCCUUUGUCGACCGACGUGCAAUGCUGGCUCGCUCUCUAAUGCGCUGGUUUCCGCUUAACACUCCGAUCUCUUCAUCACAUCGUAACACCCCCGACGCUCGACAAGCCGGCAGGGCACCCAGAUUGUGACAAGAUCGUCUGCCUAGCACUCCUUGUCUCAUGGGAUGAUGUUCAAAAACGCAAGCUUCAUCGUCCGUAUACCAGCCAGAGGCAUCGCCAAAUGCAGUGGGUACAGCAGAUACUAAAGUCCCUCUUCCUGAUGCCAGGCCGCCACCAUGGUCUCCCCGGGAUACUCUCCGAC